rnacentral:rRNA from 1 species
UUCUUGGUGUAGCGGUGAAAUGCGUAGAUAUCAAGAAGAACACCGGUGGCGAAGGCGACUCUCUAUCCCGAUACUGACGCUGAGGCACGAAAGCUGGGGGAGCAAACAGGAUUAGAUACCCUGGUAGUCCCAGCCUUAAACGGUGUACACUUGGUGUGGGAGGAUUUGACCCCUUCUGUGCCGGAGCUAACGCGUUAAGUGUACCGCCUGGGGAGUACGGCCGCAAGGCUAAAACUCAAAGAAAUUGACGGGGGCCCGCACAAGCGGAGGAGCAUGUGGCUUAAUUCGAUGCAACGCGAAGAACCUUACCAGGACUUGACAUGCAACUGCACGUCCCGUGAAAGCGGGAUUCCUUCGAGGGUGUUGCACAGGUGCUGCAUGGCUGUCGUCAGUUCGUGCCGUGAGGUGUUGGGUUAAGUCCCGCAACGAACGCAACCCUUGUGUUUAGUUGCCACCACCGGUGAUGAAUCGGUGAGCACUCUAAACAGACUGCCCAUAUCAAGUGGGAGGAAGGUGAGGAUGACGUCAAGUCAGUAUGGCCUUUAUGUCCUGGGCUGCACACGUGCUACAAUGGCCGGUACAGAGGGAAGCAAGACCGCGAGGUGGAGCUAAUCCUAAAAAACCGGUCCCAGUUCGGAUUGAAGUCUGCAACUCGACUUCAUGAAGUUGGAUUCGCUAGUAAUGGCGCAUCAGCUACGGCGCCGUGAAUACGUUCCCGGGCCUUGUACACACCGCCCGUCACAUCAUGAAAGUUGUCUGCACCAGAAGUUGCUGAUCUAACCCGCAAGGGAGGAAGGCACCAAAGGUGUGGGGAACAAUUGGGAUGAAGUCGUAACAAGGUAGCCGUAGGGGAACCUGCGG